rnacentral:rRNA from 1 species
AUGAACGCUGGCGGCGUGCCUAAUACAUGCAAGUCGAGCGAACAGACGAGGAGCUUGCUCCUCUGACGUUAGCGGCGGACGGGUGAGUAACACGUGGAUAACCUACCUAUAAGACUGGGAUAACUUCGGGAAACCGGAGCUAAUACCGGAUAAUAUAUUGAACCGCAUGGUUCAAUAGUGAAAGACGGUUUUGCUGUCACUUAUAGAUGGAUCCGCGCCGCAUUAGCUAGUUGGUAAGGUAACGGCUUACCAAGGCAACGAUGCGUAGCCGACCUGAGAGGGUGAUCGGCCACACUGGAACUGAGACACGGUCCAGACUCCUACGGGAGGCAGCAGUAGGGAAUCUUCAGCAAUGGGCGAAAGCCUGACGGAGCAACGCCGCGUGAGUGAUGAAGGUCUUCGGAUCGUAAAACUCUGUUAUUAGGGAAGAACAAAUGUGUAAGUAACUAUGCACGUCUUGACGGUACCUAAUCAGAAAGCCACGGCUAACUACGUG